rnacentral:rRNA from 1 species
AGCGCGCGUAGGUGGUUUGUUAAGUUGGAUGUGAAAGCCCCCGGGCUCAACCUGGGAAUGGCAUUUGUGACUGCACGGCUAGAGUGUGUCAGAGGGGGGGUAGAAUUCCACGUGUAGCAGUGAAAUGCGUAGAUAUGUGGAGGAAUACCGAUGGCGAAGGCAGCCCCCUGGGAUAACACUGACGCUCAUGCACGAAAGCGUGGGGAGCAAACAGGAUUAGAUACCCUGGU